UACGUAGGGUGCGAGCGUUGUCCGGAAUUAUUGGGCGUAAAGGGCUCGUAGGCGGUCUGUCGCGUCGGGAGUGAAACUCAGGGCUUAACCCUGAGCCUGCUUCCGAUACGGGCAGACUAGAGGUAUGCAGGGGAGAACGGAAUUCCUGGUGUAGCGGUGGAAUGCGCAGAUAUCAGGAGGAACACCGGUGGCGAAGGCGGUUCUCUGGGCAUUACCUGACGCUGAGGAGCGAAAGUGUGGGAGCGAACAGG
rnacentral:rRNA from 1 species